UACGUAGGGGGCUAGCGUUGUCCGGAAUCAUUGGGCGUAAAGAGCGUGUAGGCGGCCAGGUAGGUCCGUUGUGAAAACUCGAGGCUCAACCUCGAGACGUCGAUGGAAACCAUCUGGCUAGAGUCCGGAAGAGGAGAGUGGAAUUCCUGGUGUAGCGGUGAAAUGCGCAGAUAUCAGGAAGAACACCAAUGGCGAAGGCGGAUCUCUGGGCCUUACCUGACGCUCAGGUGCGAAAGCUAGGGGAGCGAACAGG
rnacentral:rRNA from 1 species